UCUCAUCCUGGGCCCACAAAGCCUUUCUGUCCAAACUGGUUUACACAUUCCUGUGAAACGUUUUGUUUUUUCCAAAACAACAUUUUGUGUUGAAAAACCAUUUCAUUGGAAAAUUACUAACCAGCUCUAGUUUCACACCCUGUGGUCUGUCAUCUUUGAUCUGUUUAAUGAAAUGUGGGUUCCAAUAGCACUUGCUGCUGGCCUUUUUUAAUCUCUUAAGCUCCCUCCUGCUCUCUUCUAGAUUCCUCUCCGACUCGACUCAUCUGCAGCUAUUUUUCUCUCCUUAGGGAGAACCCUGAUCCUGUUUCAGUCUCUCACAAAGACUGCCUGCUGCUUUGCUGGCUUUUCUCUCUCUUUCUCUCUGCUCUUUUCACUAGAAGUGCCUGUAAUUGAAAAGUAAUGGGGGAAAAUCAUCCAAACCUAUUUUCAAACUCAAAUCAAAUUUAGCUGGAAUUUUAGUACAGGUUUUGGUCGUCGUGCCUUAUUAUAUCCAGAUCUAUCCACUGAGCUUAUCCUCUGAUAGCUACUUGCAGUACCAAAUGCAAACAGGUUUAAGUCAAUGUCUGCCAUCAAAGUCAAUGGAGUUAUUUAUGCUCACUUAUGCUGGGUCUGUAUUUCUCUCUUAAUUUUUUAUUCUGCCCAUCAAAUGAGCUAAAUCCUCCUGCUUUUCAAAUUAGUAAAAAAGUAGGAUUUUUUUUUCCUUUCACAACAUCAUUACCAAAAAUAACCAGAUGCCUUUAUGCUAUGCUUUGACCAGUGUUGUUGAACUGUCAGAGAUAACUGCUGGAUAUGGUAUUUAAUACCAAAAUGAGAUAAUGGCACAUUAAUGAUAUUUUCAAUAUCUUCACCUCCAAAAUCCCACUGGGACAAGAAAUAGAGAUGCCAGAAUAUCACAAGGAAUAUCACAGAGUAAUCCUGCUCCAGUUGGACAUGGGAGCUACUGGCAAGCACAGGAAUAAUCAGCCCAGCUUUGGUCACAAAAAGCUCAGACACAGGAAUUGAGGUAGAUGUCUUCUACUUGGAUUUUAAGAAGGCGUUCAAUAUGGUAUCUCAUUCUAUUCUGACAGAUAAACUGAGUGGCUGUGAUAUA